rnacentral:rRNA from 1 species
GACGAACGCUGGCGGCGUGCCUAAUACAUGCAAGUCGAACGCUUCUUUCCUCCCGAGUGCUUGCACUCAAUUGGAAAGAGGAGUGGCGGACGGGUGAGUAACACGUGGGUAACCUACCCAUCAGAGGGGGAUAACACUUGGAAACAGGUGCUAAUACCGCAUAACAGUUUAUGCCGCAUGGCAUAAGAGUGAAAGGCGCUUUCGGGCGUCGCUGAUGGAUGGACCCGCGGUGCAUUAGCUAGUUGGUGAGGUAACGGCUCACCAAGGCCACGAUGCAUAGCCGACCUGAGAGGGUGAUCGGCCACACUGGGACUGAGACACGGCCCAGACUCCUACGGGAGGCAGCAGUAGGGAAUCUUCGGCAAUGGACGAAAGUCUGACCGAGCAACGCCGCGUGAGUGAAGAAGGUUUUCGGAUCGUAAAACUCUGUUGUUAGAGAAGAACAAGGACGUUAGUAACUGAACGUCCCCUGACGGUAUCUAACCAGAAAGCCACGGCUAACUACGUG